AUAAUAGACUACCCGGGUAGUCCUAGCCAUCAACUAUGGAUACUGGAUAUUCCUGGCACUCAUGUGGGAGUGUCGAAGCCAACGCGUUAAGUAUCCCGCCUGGGGAGUACGGUCGCAAGAUUGAAACUCAAAGGAAUUGACGGGGGGCCCGCACAAGCGGUGGAGCAUGUGGUUUAAUUCGACGCAACGCGAAGAACCUUACCUGGGCUUGAACUGUCGGUAUAGGGACCCGAAAGGGCGACGAUCCCGGGCAACCGGGAAGCCGAUAGAGGUGCUGCAUGGCUGUCGUCAGCUCGUGUCGUGAGAUGUUGGGUUAAGUCCCGCAACGAGCGCAACCCUUGUCUUUAGUUGCCAGCGAGUCAUGUCGGGCACUCUAAGGAGACUGCCUCGGAUAACGAGGAGGAAGGUGGGGAUGACGUCAAGUCAGCAUGGCCUUUAUGUCCAGGGCUACACACGUGCUACAAUGGGCGGUACAGAAGGACGCGAGACCGCGAGGUCAAGCCAACCCUUAAAACCGUUCUCAGUUCGGAUUGCAGG
rnacentral:rRNA from 1 species